UACGUAGGGGGCCAGCGUUGUCCCGGAUUUAUUGGGCGUAAAGAGCGUGUAGGCGGCCAGGUAGGUCUGCUGUGAAAACUCGAGGCUCAACCUCGAGACGUCGGCGGAAACCAUCUGGCUAGAGUCCGGAAGAGGCGAGUGGAAUUCCCGGUGUAGCGGUGAAAUGCGUAGAUAUCUGGAGGAACACCGGUGGCGAAGGCGGCAUCCUGGACCGGUAUUGACGCUGAGGCGCGAAAGCCAGGGGAGCAAAGCGG
rnacentral:rRNA from 1 species